rnacentral:ncRNA from 1 species
CUUAUCAAGAGUGGUGGAGGGACUGGCCCUGUGAAGCCCGGCAACCAAUAUUUUAUAUGUGGUGCCAAAUCCUGCAGUUUUUACUGAUAGAUAAGG